GACUUGGUUACGCAUUGUGGACUCCUGAACCCCCAACUUUGGCCAACUUGCUACAACAUGAGCCUUAAUUCACAUGAGCUUUCUAGAACGACCAUAGGACCUUUUCCAACAUGAAAAUCCCUUGCUCUCUUGCACGGAUGGAUUCCCCUGAUCAGUUUUGACUGAUGAAAUACAAUGCACUAUGCAAUGUGAAUGCAAUGUUUAUGCAAUGUUAAUGUGAUGUUAGUGACCUAAAAAAUGAAAUGAAU
rnacentral:lncRNA from 1 species